AUGGUCGUGCAGCUCGGAGAAGCUCGCCAUGCGGUUCAGGGCUCAUACGCGUGCAGUCCAGCGAGCGCCAUGUCUUCCCCUCUGGUCGGUCGACCAUGGCCGUGCAGCUCGGAGAUGCUCGCCAUGCGGUUCGGAGCUCGUGCGCAUGCAGUCCGGCAAGUGCCAUCUCUUCCCCUACAGUCCGUCGACCAUGCCAUGCAACUCAGAGACACUUGCAAUGAGGUUCAGAGCUCGUGCGUGUGUAAUCUGGCUAGUGUCCGUGCAUGUGCAGUCCAGCGAGCAUCCGUGCACAACAGCGCCUCUGCCACAACAUUCAGUAGUGGAUUCCCUAGUUUGGAAAAUGCUAACUUUUGGAUUCUAAGACGAAUUAGGUCCCUUAAUUAUGAUGAUAUGUUGCUAGACCAAUUAGUGUCCAUGCACAGCAGCUUCUAA
rnacentral:rRNA from 1 species